ACCCGCUGAACUUAAGCAUAUCAAUAAGCGGAGGAAAAGAAACCAACCGGGAUUACCUCAGUAACGGCGAGUGAAGCGGUAACAGCUCAAAUUUGAAAUCUGGCCUCGGCCCGAGUUGUAAUUUGUAGAAGAUGCUUCGGGCGUGGCUCCGGUCUAAGUUCCUUGGAACAGGACGUCAUAGAGGGUGAGAAUCCCGUAUGUGACUGGGUGCCUCCGCCUGUGUGAAGCUCUUUCGACGAGUCGAGUUGUUUGGGAAUGCAGCUCAAAAUGGGUGGUAUAUUUCAUCUAAAGCUAAAUAUUGGCCAGAGACCGAUAGCGCACAAGUAGAGUGAUCGAAAGAUGAAAAGCACUUUGGAAAGAGAGUUAAACAGUACGUGAAAUUGUUGAAAGGGAAGCGUUUGCAACCAGACUUGCGCGCUGCCGAUCAUCCGGUGUUCUCACCGGUGCACUCGGUUGCGUUCAGGCCAGCAUCGGUUUGGGUGGCUGGAUAAAGGCCUUGGGAAUGUAGCUUCUUUCGGGGAGUGUUAUAGCCCUGGGUGCAAUGCAGCCUACCUGGACCGAGGACCGCGCUUCGGCUAGGAUGCUGGCGUAAUGGUUGUAAACGACCCGUCUUGAAACACGG
rnacentral:rRNA from 1 species